UACGUAGGUGGCAAGCGUUGUCCGGAUUUAUUGGGCGUAAAGAGCGUGUAGGCGGCUAGGUAGGUCCGUUGUGAAAACUCGAGGCUCAACCUCGAGACGUCGAUGGAAACCAUCUAGCUAGAGUCCGGAAGAGGAGAGUGGAAUUCCUGGUGUAGCGGUGAAAUGCGCAGAUAUCAGGAAGAACACCCCGUGGCGAAGGCGGCUCUCUGGUACGUGACUGACGCUGAGACGCGAAAGCGUGGGGAGCGAACAGG
rnacentral:rRNA from 1 species